GAUGAAGAACGCAGCGAAAUGCGAUACGUAAUGUGAAUUGCAGAAUUCAGUGAAUCAUCGAGUCUUUGAACGCACAUUGCGCCCCCUGGUAUUCCGGGGGGCAUGCCUGUCCGAGCGUCAUUGCUACCCUCAAGCACGGCUUGUGUGUUGGGCCUCCGUCCUCCUCCCGGGGGACGGGCCCGAAAGGCAGCGGCGGCACCGCGUCCGGUCCUCGAGCGUAUGGGGCUUCGUCACCCGCUCUUGUAGGCCCGGCCGGCGCUUGCCGACACAUCAAUCUUUUUUCCAGGUUGACCUCGGAUCAGGUAGGGAUACCCGCUGAACUUAAGCAUAUCAAUAAGCGGAGGA
rnacentral:misc_RNA from 1 species